rnacentral:snRNA from 2 species
CGCUUGGGGCAAUGACAAUGACGCAGCUAGUGUGGUAAUACCGAGACGCGUCAAUUGCUGGUUGAAAACUAUUUCCAAACCCCCUCUACGCCCUAUGGGCCACUGAGAAUUUCUGGAAGGGCUCCUCCUCUUCGGAGAAGGGAAAGCC